UGGGGAAUAUUGGACAAUGGGCGAAAGCCUGAUCCAGCCAUGCCGCGUGUGUGAAGAAGUUCUUCGGAUUGUAAAGCACUUUAAGUUGGGAGGAAGGGCAGUAAGCGAAUACCUUGCUGUUUUGACGUUACCGACAGAAUAAGCACCGGCUAACUCUGUGCCAGCAGCCGCGGUAAUACAGAGGGUGCAAGCUUUAAUCGGAAUUACUGGGCGUAAAGCCCGCUGAGGUGGUUCGUUAAGUUGAAUGUGAAAGCCCCGGGCUUAACCUGGGAACGGCAUCCCAAACUGGCGAGCUAGAGUAGGGCAGAGGGUGGUGGAAUUUCCUGUGUAGCGGUGAAAUGCGUAGAUAUAGGAAGGAACAACAGUGGCGAAGGCGACCACCUGGGCUCAUACUGACACUGAGGUGCGAAAGCGUGGGGAGCAAACAGG
rnacentral:rRNA from 1 species